rnacentral:rRNA from 1 species
UCGAACGGCAGCGCGGGGCAACCUGGCGGCGAGUGGCGAACGGGUGAGUAAUACAUCGGAACGUACCCAGAAGUGGGGGAUAACGUAGCGAAAGUUACGCUAAUACCGCAUACGUUCUACGGAAGAAAGUGGGGGACCUUCGGGCCUCAUGCUUUUGGAGCGGCCGAUGUCUGAUUAGCUAGUUGGUGAGGUAAAGGCUCACCAAGGCGACGAUCAGUAGCUGGUCUGAGAGGACGACCAGCCACACUGGGACUGAGACACGGCCCAGACUCCUACGGGAGGCAGCAGUGGGGAAUUUUGGACAAUGGGGGCAACCCUGAUCCAGCAAUGCCGCGUGAGUGAAGAAGGCCUUCGGGUUGUAAAGCUCUUUUGUCAGGGAAGAAAUCGCCAUGGUUAAUACCUGUGGCGGAUGACGGUACCUGAAGAAUAAGCACCGGCUAACUACGUGCCAGCAGCCGCGGUAAUACGUAGGGUGCAAGCGUUA